GUGGGUCCUGAAUACAUUUGAUCUCGGUGUCUGUUUGAAAGCUCUACCCAUCAUCUGGCGUUGGCCAGAUUAAUUUUCCAGUCAUGUGGUCAUGAUUGGGCCCUUUCACACAUCCAUGAACUACAUUGGGAUUCUCACAGGCCACAAAAUGCAGGGUUCUGGAUAUGCAGAGAUUCUAUUUGAGGCACCAGUGACAACUGGAUCAAUCAAAGGUGUUCUCAGUGGAAAGGCCUACGCAAAGUCCCUCUUUUGCCUCAAAACUGUGUGUGAGGCAAUGGAGAGGCUGUUGAUGGAGAUAUUCACUGAGGAGGAGAACAUCCUUAUCACUAACCCUGCUGAGCUUCUCAACAUGACGUAGUCUUGCAAUCGAGAGCACCUCGAUGAAGCCCUCAAAGACCCCUCAUCGAGAAGUAUCACGCCUAUGAGGAGAAGGUGCGCAAUGGCCAACUGUGGAAGACGGCUGCCUUCUGGAUGUCCUUUAUUACCCACUGUCAUCUUGUCUUCAUGCUCCUCCACUUCGUUAAAGACCAACAACAUCCAGCUGUUUCACAAAUGUAAUGGAGAGAUGGCGAAUAUCUUCUUUGCAUUCGAUGGACACAACUACUCCAGGUUUGUGCAAUUUACAUGCCCAAAUUGAUAACUUUAACUGAGUACAUUUGAAUAGAUAUAUACUGGUAAAAGCUCAUGCAUUAUCAGACGAGCUCAUCCAAUAAAUGUUUCUAUGUGUAAUCAGUGCCUCUCCUUAUCCGCAAAUAUCUGACCUGGCUGGAGGUCCACCUGACAAAUCUGGAGAACACACACCCAGGAACCAAGGACCUGCUCACCAAGGGUACCAUUGCAGUGGCCCGCUCAAUGAUACCCGGGGCACUCAGUGCAGUCGAUAAGACAAUGGAAGAAACGUUUAUGCACUUUGCCAAAUCAUCAGGUGGCUUUGCUGGACUGUACAGCCAGUUUGGGGCAUACCAGAGAUGUGUCGUACAACCUCCGCAAGAGCACAGUUUUCUGAAAAGACCCUUGAAAUGGUCGACCUCAUCGAUGAUCCAGACUGCCCAAGGGCAGGGAGACAUCGCGAGCUGGAGAAGGCAGAGGUCCAAAAGGGUGAGGAGGCCGUUCAGCGAACCCUCACUACUAUCAGGAACUUCACAAAUCCAUUCACCAUCGCAGAUAAGGACAGGCUCUACUCCCUGGCUUCUAGUGCUCCUGUCCCCAUGGAUGUCGAGAUGGACGUGUUAGGAGCAGAAGCUGUGGGCAAGGCCGCUAAAGCUGACUUCAUCAGACGCAUACAAAGUGGAGAGCCAGGAAGCUUCUUCGACCCAAUCAAGAAGAAACUCAAGACCAUGGAGACUUGCAACAAGAAGGUCACCCUCACAUCCUCACAGGGAAAGGUCAUACAGUUUCAAGAGCAAAGCAACCUUGCAUUCAUGCUCCUUGUCAAGUCUCAGAGUCAAGAUGAGCCAUUGGACUUGGAAAAACUCAUGAAGUACUGCCUGAUGCCUCUGCCUCCCAGCCUUGAAACACUGGAUGAAUUUUUCUCCAAGGCCAACAAAGCCUCUAUUCUGCACUACCUUCUAGAGGACACCACCCCAGAAGAUCUGCCAUACCCCAAGGAUGCCCUGUUCAUCCAGGAUGGCAUGGCGCUGCUACAUACCCUUGCCAACCUUCCCCCAACCUGUGGUGAGAUAUGUCUACAAGUGCUCGAUCAAAUGGUGACCAAGAAGCACUUCUUGUUCUCGACUGACAGUUACCGCCCGGAAUCUGUCAAAGCGCAGGAGAGGUUGAGGCAUGGCAGCUCAGAGAAGAUCAUUUUGGCUGGACCAGUGACCAGGAAGCCAUAUGAUUUGAAGAUGUUCCUUGCAAAUGACGACAACAAAAAGCAGAUCUGCCAGCUCCUGCUGCGAGUAUGGAGUGACCAACAGGCAGCUUCAAAGCUGGAGAUAACAGAGAUGGCAAUGCUGAUCGUGGAGGGGAGAGCCCACCAUCUUGUCUCAUCCAAUGGCAAGGUUGAGGUGCGUGAGCUCCUCACAAAUCUACAGCAACCAGGAAGAGACUGAUACAAGGGUGGUACUGUACCUCCAUCAUGCUGUUGCCAUCGGAAACAAGAAUGCUGUGUUCAGAACACCUGACACAGAUAUCUUUAUGAUUCUUCUCUCCCAUGCUCAUGCCAUCAAGCUGACUGUAUACCUGGAUACAGGGUCAGGGAAACAUCGACAACUUCUCAACCUCUCUGAGCUUGCAGAAUCCCUGGGAGAAGACUACUGCGCCACUCUUCUUGGGUUCUGUGUGUUCAGCGGAGAGACUGUACCAGUGCCUUCAAAGGGAAGGGGGAGGUGGGGCCCUUGAAAAAGCUGGAGAAGAACCCCAGGUUUCACACGGCGUUCAGUCAACUCGGUGACUACUGGAAUGUCAAGCCUGAGGUGCUGAGGCAGUUGGAGCAAUUCACCUGUCUGAU
rnacentral:lncRNA from 1 species